UACAGAGGUCUCAAGCGUUGUUCGGAUUCAUUGGGCGUAAAGGGUGCGUAGGCGGCGCGGUAAGUCGGGUGUGAAAUCUUGGAGCUUAACUCCGAAACUGCAUUCGAUACUGCCGUGCUUGAGGACUGGAGAGGAGACUGGAAUUUACGGUGUAGCGGUGAAAAUGCGUAGAUAUCGUAAGGAAGACCAGUGGCGAAGGCGGGUCUCUGGACAGUUCCUGACGCUGAGGCACGAAGGCCAGGGGAGCAAACGGG
rnacentral:rRNA from 1 species